rnacentral:misc_RNA from 1 species
GUGAAAAAACAAACGAAGGAAUUUCAUGCAUGAAGAUAAUGGACGAUAAUUAAAACGUGAUUUUACAUAAAGAAAGCAUCUUGUUUCUUCAUCCCUAGCCCUAGGAAUCCUAUAUAUCAGAAUCUAAAAACUAAUUAAACAACAUUUUAAAAGGAAAAAAAAAAAAAAGAUCAAAACAACCUCUAAAUCUAAUGACAUGAAUAUUCACCGAGUUUUCCACUAUCUAGUAUUAGAAUUUAUAAUUCUUGGAUUUUGAAAAUGAUCCGACUAUCGACAGAUUCAAGAAGGCCAAUGUCAUCUAUUGAUUGAUCCUCUGCACUAUCAUCGUCAAUGCAGAUAUUCAAAUCCAGUGAGACACAAGGGCUUGUCUCCUCCAUGAUGGCGCUGCUUUGACCUUUUUCUUCCUCUUGGGAAUUAUCUGUUUUUCGCUUGAUAGGAGGAGAGCAGGCUCUUGAUCUUAAGCUAAAGCUUUCACAGCUCAAAAUGAUAAUGGCAUCACUAAGACUAACUUCUUCACCAACGGAAUUGGUUAUUCUUCCUCUUUCAAUUGCUCUUUUGAACCCCAUUUGCGAGCAAUAAUCUGCCUGCUCAACAUCUUCAACUAAGAAAACCCGAUGUGGGUUGCUUGACAAAGCCUCAGCAAAUCUUUCGAUAUAGCUGCAACUUUCAUCUCUUGAUCUCUUGUUUCGAAAGUCUUCGGUUGAGUCUGCUCCUGUGGAUGAAAAGCUGCUUAAAGCAAUGGAAAUGAAGUUGUUCUGCAAGCCAAAAACAAGCCUAGCCAAUUCUUUGGCUAUUUUCUCUUUAGCUUCCAUAUCGACUCCUUGAAAGAAUAACCAAGUUUCUUCUUUGGCCUCACAGUUUCUCACCUUCCCUUUUCUUCUUACCAUGCCUGACCUGCAUUGCAAGAUCGUGGUCGCGAUUUGUGGGAUUAUAUCUUUCUGCCAUGGUACCUUUUUCUCCAAUGCAUCGCAUAAGGUUUUCAAGUUCUCAGCAUUCACCUCCUUGAACAUGUGAAGAUACUCCAUCUCCAUUACAUCACUGGAAGAAGUGGAGUUAGGAGUAGAACUUGGAUACGAUGAAAAGGGAGGUUUAGGAUGAUCUCUAUGCUCUGGAAUGUACAUUCUCAACCUGGGUUCAAUGGUACUGCUACUCUUGUUGACCAUUUCUGAACCAACCCAGAAAUGGUAGUCCCUCCAUGAUUGCUUGGGUUCAACCAUUGGCCAGUCAUGAUGGUUUCGGUGGAAAUUAGGGUAUCGCUGGUCAUAUGAGAAACCAGAAGUGGAAGAAGAAGGUGACACAGAAGAAAAUAUAAUGGUUUUCCCAGAAGAAAGAGGUUGGUUGUGGAUUGAACUGCAAAUUGAGUUCCACUUUUUCCAAAUAUCUUUGAUUGAGACAGAAUCCUGACCGUCAGUAUUGUUAAGUCUCUUGGUCUCAUUCUUGUAUUGUUGAAGCCAUGCAGGAAGGCUAGAAGUUGGGGACUCACUGUUACAAGUGCUAGUCUGUAAGCUUUGAGCCUCGGUCUCAAACUUGGCUGUACAAUCAGCACAGCAAGUGAGUUGCUUCUCUUCAUCAUCACCUUCAAGUAUAAUCAAGCAGCUAGAUCCAUUUUGAUCUGCUUUGUUGCUGGUGGACUGACUUUCUACAUCACUGUCGGUGAUGAGACUUAAGCGUAAGCUGCCUGCAGGAAUUGUAAGGGGAUGGAGACUCCAAAUAGUCUCAAGUGAUGGAUGGCCUGAUUUGCACUUCAUGUAUGUUUGGAAAGUGGCAAUCCCCAUAAGCCAAAAUUUCCCACUAUUUUCUUCAAUUCCACAAGCUAAUUUCCCAAGCUCCAUGAUCAUGUGCUCCAUUGGGCACAAGUGGCUACUCCUCCCUUGUUCACUGCAUGAGCUACUGGUCCUAUACUCACUAAUCCACUUCAGAUCUCCUAAAUUCAAAACAAUUCCUUUGCUUAUGUAGCUUCUCACCAGGCCCUUAAGAUCUUCUAGCUUCUGUUCUACGUCUAACCUGGAAAGAUCAGCUAAUAAAGAUAUUGGAAAUGGUAAAAACUUAACUUCCCUCAAAGCCUCAGGAACAUCUCCUUUAAUAACCUUCUCCAUCACUCCUUUAACCACAGCCUCUAUGCUACCAAGACACUCUCCUACAAUCACAAAACUUCUCUUUCUUUUGUUCAUUAAAUUCUCUAUAACACUCAUCACGUCCUCAUUCCUAAUUGGAUCUAAAGAUGUUAUUGGUUUGCUUUCUUUUGCUCCUACUUGACUCAGGGGAGGAGAAUGGGAAAGGGCAAGAACGUUGCUUUCCUUGGACUUGCUACUUACAGAAGGAGCACUUUGAGAACAAAUUUCUAAAGAAACAGCUUGCUCAACAUUGCUUUUCACUUGGGUACUAGAGAAACCAGCUUCUCUCAUGACUCUACUAACACUGGGAUCAUCUAAAAUGGAAAUUAUGAGCUGCUCUAACUCUAUUUUCACAGCUAAGAGAGGUUGCUGCUGGUUUUCAAUAGAGCCACGCCGUUGGUGAGCCUGAGCUCGCUUAAAGGCCGCAACCAAGGCAUUGGAGAUUGAGGGGUACUGUUGGGGGUGAGUACCUAACAUGGGGCUUGACGUGGAAGCAGGAAGACGGUUAAGGGCUACGUUGAAGCAAAGCUCCAGGGCUUUGCACUGGAGUGGGUGAGAGUGGGAUUGAAGACAAGCUGUUCUCAGUAGGCCACUAGAGGCAGAAAGCAUGGUGUUGGCUACGUGGAGAGGGGUCACUUGGGCAUGCCCUCGCCGUCUAGCCAGAGUCACCGCUUGUUUUACGACGGUUGCCGCCUCCGGAGUUAGAGUUUGCUGCACCGUGCAACCUCCUGCUCUC